GAUGAACGCUGGCGGCGUGCCUAACACAUGCAAGUCGAGCGGACAGAUGAGGAUCUUGCGCCUCUGUCGUUAGCGGCGCACGGGUGAGUAACGUGUGUAUAACCCACUUGUAAUAGUGGGAUAACUUCGGGAAACGGGCGCUUAUACCGGAUAAUAUAUUGAACCGCGGGGUGCAUUAGUGAAAUACGGUUGUGCGGUCACUUAUAGAUGGAUCCGCGCCGCUUUGGCUGGUUGGGAAGUUAACGGGUUACCAAGGGAACGCUGCGUAGCCGACGUGAGAGGGUGAUCGCCCACACUCGAACGGAGCCACGGACCAGACUCCUGCGGGACGGCGCAGUAGGGAAUCUGCCGCAGUGGGCGAAAACCUUACACAACAACGCCGAGUGAGUGGUGAAGGUCUUCGGAUCGUAAAACUCUGUUAUUAGGGAAGAACAAAUGUCUACGUAACUAUGCCCGUCUUGACGGUACCUAAUCAGAAAGCUCCGGCUAACUACGUG
rnacentral:rRNA from 1 species